GCCUUUGUAGCUCAGUUGGUAGAGCGCUUCGUUGGUAACGAAGAGGUCGUGGGUUCAAAUCCCACCAGAGGCU
rnacentral:tRNA from 1 species